ACGGGCAUACCAUGCUGAAUAUACCGGUUCUCGUUAGAUCACCGAAGUCAAGCAUCAUUGGGCGCGGUCAGUACUUGGGUGGGUGACCACCUGGGAACACCGCGUGCCGUU
rnacentral:rRNA from 1 species